GACCAAUCCAGUGACCUAGUGGUUGGUGCACCCGCCUCGAAUGCGGGAGGUUGUGGGUUCGAACCCCGGUCGAGUCA